GACGUAGGGCGCGAGCGUUGUCCGGAUUUAUUGGGCGUAAAGAGCUCGUAGGCGGCUUGUUACGUCGACUGUGAAAACCCGCGGCUCAACUGCGGGCCUGCAGUCGAUACGGGCAGGCUAGAGUUCGGUAGGGGAGACUGGAAUUCCUGGUGUAGCGGUGAAAUGCGCAGAUAUCAGGAGGAACACCGGUGGCGAAGGCGGGUCUCUGGGCCGAUACUGACGCUGAGGAGCGAAAGCGUGGGGAGCGAACAGG
rnacentral:rRNA from 1 species